CGGCCCCUCCGGGUGAGCGCCGGCCCGAGGCGGGAGACGAGCCGCUGCUUCCAGACGAUCCGUCUGGAUCCAGCCCCGGCAGGUACCUGGCCGUUGCAGGUGCUUAUAGCUGUCAGGAGCUGGCUCCAAAUCACAUUUCCGCUAGGAAAUUGCUGUAUAGAAAGCUGCCUCAGCUUUUUGAUAAGCAGACAUGGCUGUCACGCUGCAUACUGAUGUAGGAGAUAUUAAAAUUGAACUAUUCUGUGAGCGUACUCCAAAGACUUGUGAAAAUUUCCUGGCUCUUUGUGCUAGUAACUACUACAAUGGAUGCGUAUUUCACCGAAAUAUAAAGGGCUUCAUGGUUCAGACAGGGGAUCCAUUAGGCACUGGGAAAGGAGGUAACAGCAUCUGGGGCAAGAAGUUUGAAGAUGAAUUCAGUGAAUACCUAAAGCACAGUGUCCGUGGGGUAGUGUCAAUGGCAAACAAUGGGCCGAACACCAAUGGAUCGCAGUUCUUCAUCACUUACGGCAAACAGCCGCACCUGGACAUGAAGUACACUGUGUUUGGAAAAGUUAUUGAUGGCUUGGAGACCCUGGAUGAGCUGGAGAAGCUGCCUGUAAAUGAGAAAACCUACCGACCUCUUAACGAUGUUCGUAUUAAAGAUAUUACAAUCCAUGCCAACCCUUUUGCUCUGUAGCCACAGAGGCCUCAACACAUUCUUUAGAGACUGGUCAGACCAACUCCCAGAUCAUGGGGUUUAAGGAGCCAUUAAAAAGGGUUACUUGCGCUGGAUCAAGUGAGAGCAAUGUCAUAAAUCGAUGAAACCUUUUUCUCCCAGAGGAUUAAAGAACAUACUUAGAGGAGUGCUUGCUCUUGUACUGCUGUGUUGAAAUGGCAACCUCUUCAACCUCCCAAAAAGGUAGAUGGAAAGCAAUUUCUUCUGCUUCUGGCACAGUGCUAUAGCUGGGGGAUUGCAGGCGAACUAAUUGGCCUGACCAGGAUAAAUGAAAAAGACCACUUUGGAGAAGCUGCUAUAAUGCUGAGAAGGAAAAGGCCCACCGUUCAGAAGUGGACAGGAGAAAAAGUGCUGCAAACUUGAUCUUUCUGAAACUCCGGACAGUCACUGUGCCCAGAUGUUGGAAUGGUUUGAGCCCCACGGACACCAUAUGCAUUGUUUCUGAGCUCGUGGGACUCAGCACCUUUGACUUGCAUUGAAGAGAAUGCUCUCUGCCAUUUAAGCUGGAUCACAUUAGACAAAUGGCAUAUCAGACCUGCAGAUCUGUGAACUGUAAGGAUGGUUCCUUUUUGCUUUAUUUGUUAUGUGAAUAAAAAUGUCUCUUGAUUUCCUUUCA